rnacentral:lncRNA from 1 species
AAGAGUCAACUGCGGUUAAACGAUCGCUCUGAGCCUCAGGAGACAGCUUUUGGGAGUAAGUAGAGUGUGCAGAAUGAUAGUUAACUGCAGUCACCAUAAGUGCAUCGAUCAUAGCUCGUAAAGAUGAGACGUCCGCCCCUACAUUGUCAAGGGUAGUAAUCAACUUGCCAAGAUCAUCUUUGAAUGAAGGAAGCCUUUCCAAUGAAGCCUUCAAGAUUAUGCUUUUUACUUGGUUUCCUAAAACGGAAAUUACUUUGCGAAGGGUUUUGUCUGCAACACCUAAUUUGGGUUGCCCACAUGACAUUUCAGAAGUUGAUGCGUGAUUAGCCGGCUAUAAUAAAUGUUGCCGUGCAAACGAACCUACAUUGACCGAUGAGUAAUGAUCAAGCAAGUAGAAUCAAAGAUUUAUAAAUACGAAGCGUGAUAAAGAUUGGAAUCGUACCUCUUAGGCUAACACCUGAACCACUUAUCGGGCACAAAGCAUCAUUUUCCUCUUCGAUAGGAAAAUGAUUAAAUGGUACAAGCUAGGACACAGUAGAGACAUGAUGCACUACUUCUCCCUAAAAUGUAUAUAUAAUUAAUUAAUUAAUAUAUAUAUGUAUAUAAAAAAAAGGGAGGCUCAAUGUGAAAUAAAAUACACACCUCGUUCAUUAGAACCGGUUGUGAAACAGCGGGCACAUCACAAAAGAAUGUGUCAUCAAGUGGGUAUGCCAUGGCCAAAUCACAAUAAAGAGGUUCGACGCUUGUCUUCUUAUGCCUAAAGUUGACUUCACUGUCUUCAUUGCUGCUUAUAUGCCCUCGUUUCAAAUUGCGAAUUCGUUGACCAAGGGGAAUGAAAUCUUCCUAGGAAUUUGCUACACUUUCUGUUUCUCCUUUAUCAUUAGGGACUCGAGUUGAAAGAACAUGAACCGGAGAUGAGUGUUGAACUCGAGGCACAUGAGUAGUAGAACUACUUUCAACUUCUGGAUGAACUUGGAGCGCUUUACCACGGGUGAGUUUAUCAUGAACGAAAACUUCAUUGCCUUAUGACUUAAGAGAUUUUGGCUGAGAAAGCGAC